rfam:Marchantia polymorpha subsp. polymorpha scaffold3491, whole genome shotgun sequence.
CAGGACGUAACCCCCGUCCUACCCAACCUAGACAUGCGUCGGGAGUAAUCUUGAGGUGUGAAACUAUAAUGACAAUGUAAUGAUUCUUGGGAUUCCUUACUAUACUAACCUCCAAGACGAUCCAUAGAACCUCUAGCUCGGCAAGCUUUAAGUUAAAGCAAAAUUG